CUUUUUUCGCUUCCUUUUUUUUUUUUUUUUUUUUUAAACAAAUUUUCUACAGGAAGAGUAAGCAGUAGACUGAGCUAUGAGCUGGUGCAUUUAAUAAAAAGAGAGAGAAUUUCGGCUACUAAGACCAGGUACAUUUGGAGAGUUUGAGAUUUAAUACACUUGAAAGGCAUCUAAAAAAGCAUUUUAUACUGUAAAAAAAUUAUCAGAAAUGUUUAACAGAGCGUAUUUCAACAAUUUCAAAAUGCAAAUUUCAACUGUCAUUCUGUCAUAUCCCAUCCAACAUGUUCCUCUUCUCCACCUAUAUUCUGAGAAGCCUGGGACAGAGCUGGACAAGACCCUGUCCCUAGAGGGAGAGGAGGGAAUAGCUGGUAGCACUGGUAGCAACCCAUGGGAGCUCUGAGUCCCAGUGCCACCUGCCCCCCCCACCAAGAUCAGAACAGUCUUCAGAACAUUCAGAACCUUCUCUGAGCCAUCUAAAAGGGGGGUGGGGGAGAGGAGACAACCAACCACCCUAAUUUUAUUCCUUGCUGCAUCACCUAUUACCUGGUCUUUCUUUAAAAGAAAUCCUUUUAUGGUCCAAGAAUCUUUCUUCUUGCCUUUUUUGGGGAGAAAGCAAGUUCUCUCUGUUGAUUUUUACCAACAAAGCAAGUAAAGUUUCAUUUGCUACAUGACACUGGUUUUGGUUCCUUCACCUGUCUCAAAGGGUAGGAAAACCUAUGUUAAGGAAUGGAUUUUUAAGUAGCUAUGUCUUGAGUAGAUAUGCAAUGAUAACGUUGCUUCCUGGAGCCACAAGGGGCUUCGGCAAGUCUGCUCCAGGACGGGAUGCAAGAUGGACAGCCCAGGUGCGCUAAGGGAGGCCCUCGGAUCUGUGGCUGUUGAAAACUGACCUACCUCGAGAAUUCACCAGUCAUGGCUAAUGAAAGGGAGCGAGACAGGACUACAACGAAGUAUACGGAGAAAAAGAACACCUUCAAGAGAAGGGGGAAAAUAUUCACAGAGCUUCCCAAAGGACUUCAUCGUUUACUUCUGGGAAGAAUCUCGAACAUCACAGAAGCAGCUGCCUCGGAGAGUGAAGACCUUCCACGAAGUCGUGGGGUGGAGUUUACCCGUCUAUAAAUAGAAACAACAAUCUGCUGGCAUUUCAGUUCCUGAAAAUGACUAACAGGUACGAAGGGCCCUGAGAUCUUCAAGCAAGGAACACGGCUCUGUCUGAGAGAAAAGGCACGCACUGCACGUGGCAAAGCUAGUGGGUGACAUUUUCGCUUCGUUUCCCCACAUCCGCAAGCACCUACACACGUUACUUCUCCAGACUGUGAAGGAGAACCCUUCAUCAUUUUGAGCCUAAGCCUAUACUUUUUCCAACAAAAUGGUCCUCUGAAAAAGGAUCUGGGAUGAGAAGAUGACACGUGAUGGAAACAUCAGGAGAGAAAAGGCAGGUCUAAAAGGGGCUCUGUCAGCCUAAAUCAAUCUCGUCUAGCGGUUCCAAGAAGCCCCACAACCAGAGUUUAAGAGGAAAGAUACCAGAACACCUGACUGGCUGUCACAGUCGGCUUUACACAGGAAGACUGCCUGGGGCUUGGAACAGGAGGUUUGGGGGGGUUUCUUUUGUUUUGCUUUUCAAAGGACUCCUCCUGAUUAAUGGAACGGAAGAUGCAUGGGCAAAAAGUCACCUUUCUGGAGAAAGGCAAAGUCUGCAUUCCUUUGUCAGUUUCAAACCUUAUCCCCUUAGCUUCUGAACGUUUGUUGCCAGGUCUGAAGUUGGCCUUCGCAGAGGACAGAAAGCUAUUUCUCUUUGCCUCUCUGCCAGAAAUAUGCAAAGUUUUAUAGGAAAGACUGAGAACUGGCUUGGGGAAAGGGUCUGUGAAAGGACCAUUUGGUUGGAUACUGUGUCCAGACUUCGAACCUGGGCCCACGUGGCAGUGGCUGGCACACCACGACCCAGGAGUGCUCUGGCUUUGCUCAGGAAGAGGGGACGAUGGUAUCGAAGGUGAUGACCUAGCCGUGCAGGUAUGUACACCUCGUUUCCCAGAAAGCACAUCUGGGAACAGAAGCCCCUCAUUUACAGGUCCUUCCCAUCUUGCUGCGCAGGGCAAGCCAGCCAGCUCCUGGCACGAGUGAGAAGUGACCACAGAACGUAAGAGGCUGUAAGGUUCAGGGGAGGCAUGAAUGGAACUGGCAAAGUGAGGAAACAAACUAGACCCCACUGGCUACCUUACCCUACAAUCCUGCCUUCAUUUCUCCCCUCUUUGCAUCUUAUCAAGCAACUCAGCGUUCCUCAAGGUUCUUUUUCUUUUCUUUUUUUUUGUCUUUUUGCCAUUUCUUGGGCUGCUCCUGUGGCACAUGGAGGUUCCCAGGCUAGGAGUCAAAUUGG